GAACGUAUAGCUCAGUUGGUUAGAGCGCUACGUUGACAUCGUAGAGGUCACUGGUUCGAAUCCAGUUACGUUCA
rfam:Hassallia byssoidea VB512170 scaffold_4, whole genome shotgun sequence.